ACGUAAUAGAUACCCUGGUAGUCCACGCCCUAAACGAUGUCUACUAGUUGUCGGGUCUUAAUUGACUUGGUAAACGCAGCUAAACGCGUGAAGUAAGACCGCCUGGGGAGUACGGUCGCAAGAUUAAAACUCAAAGGAAUUGACGGGGACCCGGCACAAGCGGUGGAUGAUGUGGAUUAAAUUCGAUGCAACGCGAAAAACCUUAACCUACCCUUGACAUGGAUGGAAUCCUUGAGAGAUUGAGGAGUGCCCGAAACGGGAAACCGAUUACACAGGUGCUGCAUGGCUGUCGUCAGCUCGUGUCGUGAGAUGUUGGGUUUAAGUCCCGCAACGAGCGCAACCCUUGUCAUUAGUUGCUACGAAACGGGCACUCUAAUGAGACUGCCGGUGACAAACC
rnacentral:rRNA from 1 species